UACGUAGGGUGCGAGCGUUAAUCGGAAUUACUGGGCGUAAAGCGUGCGCAGGCGGUUUUGUAAGCCAGAUGUGAAAUCCCCGGGCUCAACCUGGGAAUGGCAUUUGGGACUGCAAGGCUCGAGUUUGGCAGAGGAGACUGGAAUUCCUGGUGUAGCAGUGAAAUGCGUAGAUAUCAGGAGGAAUACCGAUGGCGAAGGCAGCUCGCUGGGACGGUACUGACGCUGAGACGCGAAAGCGUGGGGAGCGAACAGG
rnacentral:rRNA from 1 species